GGAAUAGGGAGUGGGUAUGCUCCCCAUAAACCGGCUCUGGGUGGAUUGCAGUAAAAGCAUGUUAAUGUUGAUAUAUUUAGUGAAAACGAAACAAAAUAAACAUAAUACACAUGCUCAGAAACCUUAUUUAAACUGAAGAGGAGAUUCUUAACACACACUAAUGAGGUUCAGCUGGAGCUGCUCAGACGGAAAAGUGCCUCAUUUCAGCCUCGGCGUGAUUCCAGGGAGAGUGGAUAUUAACAGCAGCCACAGUUCUCUGGAUCACAUCAAGAUCUUUUACAGAAGAUGCUGUUGAAGCCACUCUCUGGAACAGCUAACAGACACUUGUGUUGGCUAGCAUCAUGGUGGAUAAUGGGGAAGAGGACCAUCCCAGUUGAGGCCAGUCAUGCUCUCCUAGACCACGCGGUUCUACAGGAGGGCCAAAGAACAGAGAAGAACCAAAGAAAAAAGGAAAGAGAGAAAAACAAGAAGUCAUGUCAGAGGAGAGGAGAGGAGAGAAGAGCUUAUACAGUGUUAAGUCACCUGUUUGCCUGGGUGGUGAAGACUCCCAGCACAGCAGGCCUGCGGUUGAUUUGCAUGACGUUAGUUAAGGACUGCAGAACAUCAAAGUAGAAAAAGGAGUCGCCAGGAACAGAGCAGUUCAGACGGGCCUUCAGGAAUGAUGUCCAGUAGCGUUCUAGAACCCGUGGAGAACCUCCGUUAUCGUUCUUACAUACCCGAGCUACCCUCGAGAACACGACCUAGAAAAAAGAAAAAGAGUCUGUUACUCUGUCACUGCUAUAAAUGAGCUAACUUCAUUUUCAGCUAAUAAAUACUAUAAUUAAAGACUUUUAUGGCCGGAG